AAAAGACCAAGUGCUAUUUCUACGUCUCGUUUUCAUCUCACAUAGUUAUUCCCAGUCAAAGUUUCAAUAGCAGACAAUUGAUUCGAAAGAGAUGAGGCAUUAUAAACUGUGGAAACAUAAAAUAUCACUCUUAAUAUCAUCCAAACUUAAUGCAUGCAAUUAAAUGGAUGAUGAAAUAUCCAACUAAUUAAUAUGGGCUAUUAAUUAGAUAAUCCG
rnacentral:lncRNA from 1 species